rnacentral:rRNA from 1 species
GACGAACGCUGGCGGCGUGCUUAACACAUGCAAGUCGAACGGAAAGGCCUCUUUGGGGGUACUCGAGUGGCGAACGGGUGAGUAACACGUGAGUAACCUGCCCUUGACUUCGGGAUAACUUCAGGAAACUGGGGCUAAUACCGGAUAGGAAUCCUUGCUGCAUGGCGGGGGUUGGAACGCUUCGGCGGUUUUGGAUGGACUCGCGGGUUAUCAGCUUGUUGGUGGGGUAGUGGCUUACCAAGGCUUUGACGGGUAGCCGGCCUGAGAGGGCGCCCGGCCACAUUGGGACUGAGAGACGGCCCGGACUCCUACGGGAGGCAGCAGUGGGGAAUAUUGCACAAGGGGCGGGAGCAUGAUGCAGCAACGCCGCGUGCGUGAUGACGGCCUUCGGGUUGGAAACCGCUUUCAGCAGGGGCGAAGCUUGUGGUGACGGUACCUGCAGAAGAAGCACCGGCUAACUACGUG